rnacentral:miRNA from 1 species
GUCCCUUCAUCUACAAAAAAUACAGAUGAGCCGGCAGGGUGGUGCACUCCAGUGAGCCCAGCCCUCGGGAGGCAGAGGCAGGAGGAU